rnacentral:rRNA from 1 species
AACGAACGCUGGCGGCAUGCCUAACACAUGCAAGUCGAACGAGACCUUCGGGUCUAGUGGCGCACGGGUGCGUAACGCGUGGGAACCUGCCCUUAGGUUCGGAAUAACUCCCCGAAAGGGGUGCUAAUACCGGAUAAUGUCUUCGGACCAAAGAUUUAUCGCCUUUGGAUGGGCCCGCGUUGGAUUAGCUAGUUGGUAGGGUAAAAGCCUACCAAGGCGACGAUCCAUAGCUGGUCUGAGAGGAUGAUCAGCCACACUGGGACUGAGACACGGCCCAGACUCCUACGGGAGGCAGCAGUGGGGAAUAUUGGACAAUGGGCGAAAGCCUGAUCCAACAAUGCCGCGUGAGUGAUGAAGGCCUUAGGGCUGUAAAGCUCUUUUACCCGGGAUGAUAAUGACAGUACCGGGAGAAUAAGCUCCGGCUAACUCCGUG